AAUAGAUACCCCGGUAGUCCACGCCGUAAACGAUGAGUGCUAAGUGUUAGGGGGUUUCCGCCCCUUAGUGCUGCAGCUAACGCAUUAAGCACUCCGCCUGGGGAGUACGGCCGCAAGGCUGAAACUCAAAGGAAUUGACGGGGGCCCGCACAAGCGGUGGAGCAUGUGGUUUAAUUCGAAGCAACGCGAAGAACCUUACCAGGUCUUGACAUCUCCUGACCGCCCUGGAGACGGGGUCUUCCCUUCGGGGACAGGAUGACAGGUGGUGCAUGGUUGUCGUCAGCUCGUGUCGUGAGAUGUUGGGUUAAGUCCCGCAACGAGCGCAACCCUUGUCCUUAGUUGCCAGCAUUCAGUUGGGCACUCUAAGGAGACUGCCGGCUAAAAGUCGGAGGAAGGUGGGGAUGACGUCAAAUCAUCAUGCCCCUUAUGACCUGGGCUACACACGUGCUACAAUGGGCGGUACAGAGGGUCGCGAACCCGCGAGGGGGGAGCCGAAUCCCAAAAAACCGGCUCUCAGUUCGGAUUGCAGGCUGCAACUCGCCUGC
rnacentral:rRNA from 1 species